UUUAUAUACACAUGCACACACUAAAGCUCCUAGAUACACACACAAUUAACACGCUCCUUUUUUGGCCCCGUCCCUCACAGUGGGCUGCUCUGCCUUUUACAGAAUUUUCGUCCCAGUCCGGCCCUGGAUAAAUCCUUGUGUAGUCUCUAAAUAUUUUCAUCAGUGCACAUCUGCUGAGCAGCAGGGAUGCCGAAACUGUAACCCACAUGCUGAAUGACAUUGCAGAUGACUUCCACGGCUACAAG